CCCCAGUAAUUUCUAUUUUUAUGCACAGUGACUCUCAAUUGGUGAGAAAAUGAUGAUCACAUAAUCUCUCUUCCUCGAAGCUGCCGAAUGAUUAGCCUCAUUUGCUGCGCGUUCCACUCCACGGCCCGGAAAUGACGCCCCUCUCCAACUCCGGCUAAGCAUGUCAGCUAGAUGGGUUUGACCUUUUCCUGGAAAACAAGGGAGAUGAGAACACGUGAUGUGUGCGCAAACUGAUGCUCAAAUGGGCUAUUUUAGCCAACACUUCAAGAUACAUGCUUCGCUAAACUGGCUGAGAACACACCGGAGCGUUUCCAGUGAGGGCUUUUUAAGGCAUUUAAGAGUCUUGCUAUCUUCAAAAUAUGUAUGUGACACAGUAAAGGUAUGACAGAAGACAGCCUGCAGGAGCCAGUUCUCUCCAUCCACCAUGUGGUUACUGGGGGAUCAAAUUCAGAUCAGCAGGUUUGGUGGUACCCUCGGCUUGUUUACACCCUGGAUGAUAAGAAUAAGAAGCUCCGGAUGUGGCGUCAAGAACUUCAGUGCCUCUGUCGUCUGGAUCCCGGGUGAUUGAGAGACUGCAGGAAUUUUUAGAGAUAAGGUAUAGUCAGAUGUGUUUCUAAAAGAUAACGGAUGGUAAUGAGGCAGAGAGGUUGAGGAAGACUCUGGUCACUCAUUUGGAACAAAGAGCUGUGGGUGUAAGAUGCAGGACAUCCAUAGGAAUUGGAACAAAGAGCUGUGGGUGUAAGAUGCAGGACAUCCAUAGGAAUGAGGGUUCUGUUAUUGUUUGGUUUGGAAGUCAGGACAGGAACUGAAGCAGAGCAGGAAGCUGAGGCAGGAGCUGAGGCAGAGGCUGUGGAGGAGUGCUGCUUCCUGGCUCAUCAUGGUCUGUUCAGUUUGCUUUCUUACCCACAACCACAUAUCACAGUGUGCUGGGCCCUCCCCCAUUAAUCAGCAGUUAAGAAAAUGCUCUAGAGUCUUGCCUGCAUCUCAAUCUUAUGGAGGCAUUUUCUCAACUGAGGGUC
rnacentral:lncRNA from 1 species